UACGGAGGGGGCUAGCGUUGUUCGGAAUUAUUGGGCGUAAAGAGCUCGUAGGCGGUCUGUCGCGUCUGCUGUGAAAACUCAGGGCUUAACCCUGAGCUUGCAGUGGGUACGGGCAGACUAGAGUGCGGUAGGGGAGACUGGAAUUCCUGGUGUAGCGGUGAAAUGCGCAGAUAUCAGGAGGAACACCGGUGGCGAAGGCGGGUCUCUGGGCCGUAACUGACGCUGAGGAGCGAAAGCAUGGGGAGCGAACAGG
rnacentral:rRNA from 1 species